AUUGAACGCUGGCGGCAUGCCUUACACAUGCAAGUCGAACGGCAGCACGGGUGCUUGCACCUGGUGGCGAGUGGCGAACGGGUGAGUAAUAUAUCGGAACGUACCUUAUUGUGGGGGAUAACGCAGCGAAAGCUGUGCUAAUACCGCAUAAUCCCUAAGGGGGAAAGCGGGGGACCGUAAGGCCUCGCGCAAUUAGAGCGGCCGAUACCUGAUUAGCUAGUUGGUGAGGUAAAGGCUCACCAAGGCAACGAUCAGUAGCUGGUCUGAGAGGACGAUCAGCCACACUGGGACUGAGACACGGCCCAGACUCCUACGGGAGGCAGCAGUGGGGAAUUUUGGACAGUGGGGGCAACCCUGAUCCAGCAAUGCCGCGUGAGUGAAGAAGGCCUUCGGGUUGUAAAGCUCUUUUGUCAGGGAAGAAAUCUUCUGGGCUAAUACCCCGGGAGGAUGACGGUACCUGAAGAAUAAGCACCGGCUAACUACGUGCCAGCCGCCGCCGUAAGAC
rnacentral:rRNA from 1 species